rnacentral:rRNA from 1 species
UAGGGAAUAUUGCACAAUGGGCGAAAGCCUGAUGCAGCAACGCCGCGUGCGCGAUGACGGCCUUCGGGUUGUAAAGCGCUUUUCGGGGAGAUGAGGAAGGACAGUAUCCCCGGAAUAAGGCUCGGCUAACUACGUGCCAGCAGCCGCGGUAACACGUAGGAGCCAAGCGUUAUCCGAAUUCACUGGGCGUAAAGCGCGUGUAGGCGGCUUGGUAAGUUGGAUGUGAAAGCUCCUGGCUCAACAGGGAGAGGACGUUCAAUACUGCCGGGCUAGAUGGCGACAGAGGGAGGUGGAAUUCCCGGUGUAGUGGUGAAAUGCGUAGAUAUCGGGAGGAACACCAGUGGCGAAAGCGGCCUCCUGGGUCGCACCUG